GAAGCUGCGGCAUCAGGCGUAUCACACAUACGCCUUACGAUUAACACCUUGCGAAGCAAGGUGGUCAAGCGACUUACACGUUGAGGUGUGAGCGGGAGGAAUAAUCGAAGAGAGGAAUAUGUGUGAUACGUCUGUUGGGUAGGGGAGCGUUGUGUAAGCUGAAGAAGGUGGUUCGAGAGGGCUGCUGGAGGUAUCACAAGUGCGAAUGCUGACAUAAGUAACGAUAAAGCGGGUGAAAGGCCCGCUCGCCGGAAGACCAAGGUUUCCUGUCCAACGUUAAUCGGGGCAGGGUGAGUCGGCCCCUAAGGCGAGGCUGAGAAGCGUAGUCGAUGGGAAAUGGGUUAAUAUUCCCAUACUUGGAUAAACUGCGAUGUGGGGACGGAGCAGGUUAGGUUAGCGUACGGAUGGAAGAGUACGUUUAAGUUGGUAGGUGGGGUGUUUAGGCAAAUCCGGGCACCUGAUAACACUGAGAGAUGAUGACGAAGCUCUACGGAGCUGAAGUAACUGAUACCCAACUUCCAGGAAAAGCCACUAAGCGAGAGGUUUAUCUAAACCGUACUGGAAACCGACACAGGUGGUCAGGUAGAGAAUACUAAGGCGCUUGAGAGAACUCGGGUGAAGGAACUAGGCAAAAUAGCACCGUAACUUCGGGAGAAGGUGCGCUGGCGUAGUGUGAAGUUCUUCGCGAAUGGAGCACGAACCAGUCGAAGCGACGAGCUGGCUGCAACUGUUUAAUAAAAACACAGCACUCUGCAAACACGAAAGUGGACGUAUAGGGUGUGAUGCCUGCCCGGUGCUGGAAGGUUAAUUGAUGGUGUUAUCGAAAGAGAAGCACCUGAUCGAAGCCCCAGUAAACGGCGGCCGUAACUAUAACGGUCCUAAGGUAGCGAAAUUCCUUGUCGGGUAAGUUCCGACCUGCACGAAUGGCAUAAUGAUGGCCAGGCUGUCUCCACCCGAGACUCAGUGAAAUUGAAAUCGCCGUGAAGAUGCGGUGUACCCGCGGCUAGACGGAAAGACCCCGUGAACCUUUACUAUAGCUUGACACUGAACCUUGAAUUUUAAUGUGUAGGAUAGGUGGGAGACUAAGAAGCGGUAACGCCAGUUAUCGUGGAGUCGAUGUUGAAAUACCACCCUUUAACGUUUGAUGUUCUAACGAGGCGCCUGGGACAGGUGUUCGGACAGUGUCUGGUGGGUAGUUUGACUGGGGCGGUCUCCUCCCAAAGCGUAACGGAGGAGCACGAAGGUUGGCUAAUGACGGUCGGACAUCGUCAGGUUAGUGCAAUGGUAGAAGCCAGCUUAACUGCGAGACGGACAAGUCGAGCAGGUACGAAAGUAGGUCAUAGUGAUCCGGUGGUUCUGAAUGGAAGGGCCAUCGCUCAACGGAUAAAAGGUACUCCGGGGAUAACAGGCUGAUACCGCCCAAGAGUUCAUAUCGACGGCGGUGUUUGGCACCUCGAUGUCGGCUCAUCACAUCCUGGGGCUGAAGUAGGUCCCAAGGGUAUGGCUGUUCGCCAUUUAAAGUGGUACGCGAGCUGGGUUUAGAACGUCGUGAGACAGUUCGGUCCCUAUCUGCCGUGGGCGUUGGAGGAUUGAGGGGGGUUGCUCCUAGUACGAGAGGACCGGAGUGAACGCACCGCUGGUGUUCGGGUUGUCAUGCCAAUGGCAUUGCCCGGUAGCUAAGUGCGGAAGAGAUAAGUGCUGAAAGCAUCUAAGCACGAAACUUGCCCCGAGAUGAGUUCUCC
rnacentral:rRNA from 1 species